GACCGUGUAGCUCAGUUGGCAGAGCAUUGGGCUGGUACUCCAAAGAUCGUAGGUUCGAUUCCCACUGUGGUCA